rnacentral:rRNA from 1 species
CCUACGGGGGGCAGCAGUGAGGAAUAUUGGACAAUGGACGAGAGUCUGAACCAGCCAAGUAGCGUGAAGGAUGACUGCCCUAGGAGUUGUAAACGUCGUUUAUAGGGGAAUAAAACAGGGUAUGCAUACCAUCUUGUAUGUACCAUAUGAAUAAGGAUCGGCGAACUCAGUGCCAGCAGCCGCGGUAAUACGGAGGAUCCGAGCGUUAUCCGGAUUUAUUGGGUUUAAAGGGAGCGUAGGUGGGUUGUUAAGUCAGUUGUGAAAGUUUACGGCUCAACCGUAAAAUUGCAGUUGAAACUGGCAGUCUUGAGUACAGUAGAGGUAGGCGGAAUUCGUGGUGUAGCGGUGAAAUGCUUAGAUAUCACGAAGAACUCCGAUUGCGAAGGCAGCUCACUGGACUGCAACUGACACUGAUGCUCGAAAGUGUGGGUAUCAAACAGGAUUAGAUACCCCGGUAGUC